rnacentral:rRNA from 1 species
UACGUAGGGGGCAAGCGUUGUCCGGAUUUAUUGGGCGUAAAGAGCGUGUAGGCGGUUUGGUAGGUCCGUUGUGAAAACUCGAGGCUCAACCUCGAGACGCCGAUGGAAACCAUCAGACUAGAGUCCGGAAGAGGAGAGUGGAAUUCCUGGUGUAGCGGUGAAAUGCGCAGAUAUCAGGAAGAACACCUGUGGCUAAGGCGGCUCUCUAGUACGGUACUGACGCUGAGACGCGAAAGCGUGGGGAGCGAACAGG